UUUGGAACUAACUGAAACAUCUAAGGGCUUCUGGCAUGGAAGGACCACAAGGCAAUGGAAAGCCAGGCCCUGCUCCAGGUGCUGAGAGGGGUGUUGCAAAUAACUAACUCUCAUAACUGCAGCAGGUCUAAGUGCGUGAGGAUUCUGAAAUGCAGAUUAAAAAAAUACAGAUAAAGUUUGAAGGUAUUUCACUUAAACUCUCAUUCUUGACCAGGACUAUCACUCCAUCUUCAAUGAACACUAGCUUUGUUGUACAAGGGACAGAGAGAGAAAUGUCUGUGUACCUGUCUCAACAGGUUCAAGAAUUAAACCUCGACAGAAAGGCAUGACUGAGAGACCAAGAGGGAGGUAAUUAUGUUUUUGAAGUAUGGUCUCUCACAUAGUGAACAUUAAUAAAAGAAUGACCAGUACUUCCUGGCGUGGAUGUGACUUGCUCAUUUAAUUUUUAUUUAGGUGGUGUCCAUUUGGGUACUCAAGCCUCAAUACAGAAAAGCCCCUAAGCUUCUACUUAAAGUCACAUCCAGUUGGGAAAACAUGACAGCAUGUGACAAAUCCAGGACAGGUGAAAUGGAUGGAGGACCUUCAUCUUGCAAAAAAAUUACCAUGAACUUUGCAUCUGGAACCUGCCUCCCUCCUCUGCUUCCUCACAGAUUCCAGUGGACAGAGGUCUAUUUUUUCAUUUAUUCGUUUUAUUAUCCCAUGUCAGAUUUAUUCAAUAAACUUCACCCACAUCAUUCCAGCAUAA